UACGGAGGGUGCAAGCGUUAUCCGGAUUCACUGGGUUUAAAGGGUGCGUAGGCGGGCUUGUAAGUCAGUGGUGAAAGCCCGGAGCUUAACUCCGGAACUGCCAUUGAUACUGCAAGUCUUGAGUACACUUGAGGUGGGCGGAGUACAUCAUGUAGUGGUGAAAUACUUAGAUAUCAUCAGGAACUCCAAGGGCGAAGGCAGGAUACUAACCAAUUAAUGACACUGAGGAACGACAGCUAGGGGAGCGAAAGGG
rnacentral:rRNA from 1 species